rnacentral:rRNA from 1 species
CGCGUAGGCGGGUGCUCAAGUCCGGGGUGAAAUCCUCCAGCUCAACUGGAGAACUGCCUCGGAUACUGGGUGCCUCGAGGGUGGUAGGGGUAUGCGGAACUACCGGUGGAGCGGUGAAAUGCGUUGAUAUCGAUAGGAACUCCGGUGGCGAAGGCGGCAUACUGGACCACUUCUGACGCUGAGGCGCGAAAGCCAGGGAGCAAACG